rnacentral:lncRNA from 1 species
GUGAGUUCUGGAUGGAUUGUAGGUUUUGAACUUCCUCAAGUUCAACAGACCUCCCACUACCUCCUUCUUGGAUAAACUCUUUCUCCAAAAAAAUGAUAUGCCUACCAAUAAACACCUUUUAUUGAGUAGGGUUAUAGAAAUAGUAUCCUAUACUCUUCUUGAGAUAAUCUAUUGUUGGUGUAAAAAUUCGUCUGCAUCGGAGAAGCUGGAGUCGAGGGAGU